CACUGCCGAGAAAAGCCUCUAGAUAGAAAAUAGGUGCCCGUACCGCAAACCGACACAGGUAGUCAAGAUGAGAAUUCUAAGGUGAGCGAGCGAACUCUCGUUAAGGAACUCGGCAAAAUGACCCCGUAACUUCGGGAGAAGGGGUGCUCUUUAGGGUUAACGCCCAGAAGAGCCGCAGUGAAUAGGCCCAAGCGACUGUUUAUCAAAAACACAGGUCUCUGCUAAACCGUAAGGUGAUGUAUAGGGGCUGACGCCUGCCCGGUGCUGGAAGGUUAAGAGGAGUGGUUAGCUUCUGCGAAGCUACGAAUCGAAGCCCCAGUAAACGGCGGCCGUAACUAUAACGGUCCUAAGGUAGCGAAAUUCCUUGUCGGGUAAGUUCCGACCCGCACGAAAGGCGUAACGAUUUGGGCACUGUCUCAACGAGAGACUCGGUGAAAUCAUAGUACCUGUGAAGAUGCAGGUUACCCGCGACAGGACGGAAAGACCCCGUGGAGCUUUACUGUA
rnacentral:rRNA from 1 species